rnacentral:rRNA from 1 species
CUAGCCGUAAACGAUGGAUACUAGGUGUUAGAGGUAUCGACCCCUCUAGUGCCGGAGCUAACGCAUUAAGUAUCCCGCCUGGGGAGUACGACCGCAAGGUUGAAACUCAAAGGAAUUGACGGGGGCCCGCACAAGCGGUGGAGCAUGUGGUUUAAUACGUCACUAACCGUAGAACCUUACCCAGGCUUGACAUCUAGGGAAUCUGGAUGAAAGUCUAGAGUGCCCUCGGGAGCCCUAAGACAGGUGU